rnacentral:rRNA from 1 species
GAACGGGUGAGUAACACGUGGACAACCUGCCCAAAAGAGGGGGAUAACACUUGGAAACAGGUGCUAAUACCGCAUAACCAUAGUUACCGCAUGGUAGCUAUGUAAAAGGUGGCUAUGCUACCGCUUUUGGAUGGGCCCGCGGCGCAUUAGCUAGUUGGUGGGGUAAAGGCUUACCAAGGCAAUGAUGCGUAGCCGAACUGAGAGGUUGAUCGGCCACAUUGGGACUGAGACACGGCCCAAACUCCUACGGGAGGCAGCAGUAGGGAAUCUUCCACAAUGGGCGAAAGCCUGAUGGAGCAACGCCGCGUGGGUGAAGAAGGUCUUCGGAUCGUAAAACCCUGUUGUUAGAGAAGAAAGUGCGUGAGAGUAACUGUUCACGUUUCGACGGUAUCUAACCAGAAAGCCACGGCUAACUACGUGCCAGCAGCCGCGGUAAUACGUGGGUGGCAAGCGUUAUCCGGAUUUAUUGGGCGUAAAGGGAACGCAGGCGGUCUUUUAAGUCUGAUGUGAAAGCCUUCGGCUUAACCGGAGUAGUGCAUUGGAAACUGGGAGACUUGAGUGCAGAAGAGGAGAGUGGAACUCCAUGUGUAGCGGUGAAAUGCGUA